GAUGAACGCUAGCGGCAGGCUUAACACAUGCAAGUCGAGGGGCAGCAUAAUGGUUAUCCAUAUCUAUGGUUGCGACCGGCUCACGGGUGCGUAACUCGUAUGCAACCUACCUUUAACAGGGGGAUAACACUGAGAAAUUGGUACUAAUACCCCAUAAUAUCAUAGAAGGCAUCUUUUAUUGUUGUAAAUUCCGUUUGUUAGAGAUGGGCAUGCGUUGUAUUAGCUAGUUGGUGGGGUAACGGCUCACCAAGGCGACGAUACAUAGGGGGACUGAGAGGUGAACACACGACAAUGGUACUGAGACAAGGACCAGAAUCGUACGGGAGGCAGCAGUGAGGAAUAUUGGGCAAUGAAAGAAAGUAUGAAACAGCCAUGCGGGGUGCAGGAAGACGGCUAUAUGAGUUGUAAACUGCUUUUGAACGAGGGUAAAAGAAGAUACGGGUAUCUGUAUGAAAGUAACGAACGAAUAAGGAACGGCUAACUACGUG
rnacentral:rRNA from 1 species